GAAAUUUUGGCUCCAAAGUUUGGCUCCACAAAUUCAAUUUCAAAUUCAAGUGAAAUUUGAAUUUCUAUUCAAAUUUCACUUGAAUUUGAAAUUGAAUUUGUGGAGCCAAACUUUGGAGCCAAAAUUUC
rnacentral:pre_miRNA from 1 species